rnacentral:rRNA from 1 species
AUUGAACGCUGGCGGCAUGCCUUACACAUGCAAGUCGAACGGUAACAGGUCUUCGGAUGCUGACGAGUGGCGAACGGGUGAGUAAUACAUCGGAACGUGCCCGAUCGUGGGGGAUAACGCAGCGAAAGCUGUGCUAAUACCGCAUACGAUCUACGGAUGAAAGCGGGGGAUCGCAAGACCUCGCGCGGACGGAGCGGCCGAUGGCAGAUUAGGUAGUUGGUGGGAUAAAAGCUUACCAAGCCGACGAUCUGUAGCUGGUCUGAGAGGACGACCAGCCACACUGGGACUGAGACACGGCCCAGACUCCUACGGGAGGCAGCAGUGGGGAAUUUUGGACAAUGGGGGAAACCCUGAUCCAGCAACGCCGCGUGAAGGAAGAAGGCCUUCGGGUUGUAAACUUCUUUGACAGGGGAAGAAGGAAGUGACGGUACCCUGAGAACAAGCUCCGGCUAACUACGUG